CGGCGUAUUUGUACGAGGUCUCACCCACCCGCCCACCGCUGUAGGAGGACGCUGAUUGGUCGAGACAGUUUGUAACCCCUAGAGCCACGAGUAUACGCGUAUUGCGUCGCGCCUCCGCCUGCGGUCGCGGCUGCUGUGACUUGUGAAACAACUAUACGGAACAAAGGGAGCGCCAGCAGGCUCAGACAGACAGCUGAGUUUAGAGCGACUGCAAUGGCACAGAGGAACAGCCAACAGUUAACCUGAUGUCUGGUAACCACCAACCCACCGCGGGACUGUAGACCUGAACGGACACAUCAGAUUUGAAUCCAUGUUGGGUAUUUUGCCAAGCGGAUGGAUGGAUGGAGGGGUGCGAGUGACAGGUGCACUCAAAACGUCCAGCAAUACAUUGUGCAAACAAGCAGUGGUGGAGGAAGUGAGGCAAUUCCGCUCUGAAUAUGCGUUCAAGAACUAAAAGUACUCAUGCAAAAUGGCCCAUUCCAGGAUGCGAUCUCAGUGAUAACUACUGAUGCUUUUAAGACUUCAUCACUUUCAUGUCGCGGAGGAAAAAGCUGGAACACAUUUGAUGCCACGUGCUUUUCCUCUGCAACAAUGGUAUUGAAGUACUACAUGAUAACUAAGCACGAUCAGGGUGCACUGUGCUUUAGUACAAUUUUAAGAUACUUGAACUCUCGUGUAUAGACACGAGACACAUGGGUUGUGGUCAUUGUUGUAUAUUUAUGCACCGGUAUGGACCUAAGUGUAUGUACAUAAUAGUUUAAUUUACGUAUCUUUGUUCAUCUUUGUCGUCCUUGUUUUUGACUUUAUUUUUCUUCCUGUGUAUUGUUUUGGGUUAAUGGUUAAGUUUUGCUGAGCCACACACCAGAGUUGAAUUCACUCUUUGUGUGUGCAUACUUGUCCUUGACCUAAAACCAAAACUGAUUAAGCAUAUUUCUGUUCUGCUACGUCUUUUUGCUAUUUUGUUCUUCUUCUGCGCUACAUUUAAGGAAAAAAUUAUACAAUUUACUUAAUUUAUCGAAAAACUAGUCUCACAAGCACUUUGCAGAUUGAAAUUUUACACAGGCCUGCAAAACAUAAGCAGUUUGUAAAAUAUGAGGCAUUUAUAUAAAUUAGCCAACAGCUACAGGUUUUGAGAAAGUAUUUUAUAGUGUUCUGUCAACUAUCUAACUUUAACUUUAACUCUACUAUCCUCAGCUCCUUAUCAGCUGACACAUCACAAGCAUUUCACCGCUUUAAUAGCAUGAGACACUGUUAGACCUCACCGCUGACACUCGACACCGCAGAUGGUCUCAAGCCUUCAAAACUGCACACAAGACAAGAGGAAGUGCAAUCACGAAUGAUGUUGUUGAGAAGCUGGUUCCCCAUUAGAAAGAGAUUCAAAGAGAAAAUACUCAGUUCAAACCAUGAAACCAGCCAUGAAAUUGGUGGUUUCCAUAUGAGCCAACUUCACUCCACGCUCUGACAGGGUUGGUCUGUUUUUUACAUCAACAUGCUUGGAAGACAAAGCCCUGAUGGCAUGACAUAAGAGAUCACCAUCAGCACAGGAGAGCAGGAAGACAACAUCUCUCUCUUUCCUAAUUAAGUUUCAAGGAAUUUGCUCCUUUUCACACAUCAUCAGAAGCACUUCUUCUUGGGUUUUGACUGAGGGAGAACAUCUGUUGCGUGACAGUCAAAACAUCUUAAAUCAUCCUUCAAAAAGGACUUGGAAAUCUCACUCCUCUGUUGGUGAUUCAGGGACACAGCCAAGUCUUUAUCAGUCAUUAUCAGCCCAGAACACCACAAGAAAACUUCCCAAGAAAGAUGUGAAAUGUGACGGUGUGAUUGUCUGCUUUAUUUCUUUGCUACCAUAUGCUUGAGUGUCAUUUCCAAGCUACCGUCCAAGAAUCUGCCAAGAUUAUUUGUAUACUACAAUGCAAUCAUUAGGAAACUCUAGACAGAAGGGGAAAGAGUAUCACAGUUUAGUUCAUGGGCAGGAAUAAUCAUAAUAAGAAACAC